rnacentral:rRNA from 1 species
AGGACGAACGCUGGCGGCGUGCUUAACACAUGCAAGUCGUGGGGGGGGAGUGGGGCAACCACAACCUCACCGGCGAACGGGUGCGUAACACGUGAGCAACCUACCGAUUUCUGGGGGAUAGCCGGCCCAACGGCCGGGUAAUACCGCAUACGCUCUUUGAGGGGAGUCCCUUAGAGAGGAAACCUCCGGGGGAAAUCGAGGGGCUCGCGGCCUAUCAGCUUGUUGGCGAGGUAAUGGCUCACCAAGGCUAUGACGGGUAGCUGGUCUGAGAGGAUGGCCAGCCACAUUGGGACUGAGAGACGGCCCAGACUCCUACGGGAGGCAGCAGUGGGGAAUCUUGCGCGAAUGGACGAAAGUCUGACGCAGCGACGCCGCGUGCGGGAGGAAGCUCUUCGGGGUGUAAACCGCGUGUUGCCCGGACGAAUGCUGGAUUUUUGAUCCAGUUGACGGUACCGGUGAGGAGCACCGGCUAACUCUGUGCCAGCAGCCGC